ensembl:snRNA U6 U6 spliceosomal RNA
GACAUAUUUAGUUUAAGAUGUCUGCUGGAGUGCUUGAUACAAAGAAGAUGAGCAUGGCCUCUUUACAAGGAUGACAUGUAAAUCCAUGAAGUGUUCCUUGUUUUC